rnacentral:rRNA from 1 species
GAUGAACGCUGGCGGCGUGCCUAAUACAUGCAAGUCGAGCGAACAGAUGAGAAGCUUGCUUCUCUGAUGUUAGCGGCGGACGGGUGAGUAACACGUGGGUAACCUACCUAUAAGACUGGGAUAACUCCGGGAAACCGGGGCUAAUACCGGAUAAUAUUUUGAACCGCAUGGUUCAAUAGUGAAAGCCGGUUUCGGCUGUCACUUAUAGAUGGACCCGCGCCGUAUUAGCUAGUUGGUAAGGUAACGGCUUACCAAGGCGACGAUACGUAGCCGUACUGGGAUGGUGAUCGGCCACACUGGAACUGAGACACGGUCCAGACUGCUACGGGAGGCAGCAGUAGGGAAUCUUCCGCAAUGGGCGAAAGCCUGACGGAGCCACGCCGCGUGAGUGAUGAAGGUCUUCGGAUCGUAAAACUCUGUUGUUAGGGAAGAACAAAUUUGUGAGUAACUGAACAAGUCUUGACGGUACCUAACCAGAAAGCCACGGCUAACUACGUGCCAGCAGCCGCGGUAA